UACGUAGGGGGCAAGCGUUGUCCGGAUUCAUUGGGCGUAAAGGGUGCGUAGGUGGCAUGGUAAGUCGGAUGUGAAAUCCCGGGGCUCAACCCCGGAACUGCAUUCGAUACUGCUGCGCUAGAGUACUGGAGAGGAGAUUGGAAUUUACGGUGUAGCGGUGAAAUGCGCAGAUAUCAGGAGGAACACCGGUGGCGAAGGCGGAUCUCUGGGCCGAUACUGACACUGAGGAGCGAAAGCGUGGGGAGCGAACAGG
rnacentral:rRNA from 1 species